rnacentral:tRNA from 1 species
AGCAAACUGGUUGAGUGGACAAAGCGCUGGGUUGGGACUCAGAAGACCUAGGUUCUAAUCCUAGUUCUGCUG